rnacentral:rRNA from 1 species
CCUACGGGUGGCUGCAGUGGGGAAUAUUGGACAAUGGGGGAAACCCUGAUCCAGCAAUGCCGCGUGUGUGAAGAAGGCCUGCGGGUUGUAAAGCACUUUCGGUUGGGAAGAAAAGUUUGGCGCCAAUACCGCCGAACCUUGACGUUACUGACAGAAGAAGCACCGGCUAACUCUGUGCCAGCAGCCGCGGUAAUACAGAGGGUGCAAGCGGCGUUCGGCGUGCCUGGGCGGUCAUGGUGCGUAGGUGGUCAAUCCCCGGGCUUAACCUGGGAACUGCAUUCGAUACUACAUGGCUAGAGUAUGGUAGAGGGAAGUGGAAUUUCCGGUGUAGCGGUGAAAUGCGUAGAUAUCGGAAGGAACACCAAUGGCGAAGGCAGCUUCCUGGACUAAUACUGACACUGAGGCACGAAAGCGUGGGUAGCAAACAGGAUUAGAUACCCCUGUAGUC